GAAUGCUGACAUAAGUAACGAUAAAGCGGGUGAAAAGCCCGCUCGCCGGAAGACCAAGGGUUCCUGUCCAACGUUAAUCGGGGCAGGGUGAGUCGACCCCUAAGGCGAGGCCGAAAGGCGUAGUCGAUGGGAAACAGGUUAAUAUUCCUGUACUUGGUGUUACUGCGAAGGGGGGACGGAGAAGGCUAUGUUGGCCGGGCGACGGUUGUCCCGGUUUAAGCGUGUAGGCUGGUUUUCCAGGCAAAUCCGGAAAAUCAAGGCUGAGGCGUGAUGACGAGGCACUACGGUGCUGAAGCAACAAAUGCCCUGCUUCCAGGAAAAGCCUCUAAGCAUCAGGUAACAUCAAAUCGUACCCCAAACCGACACAGGUGGUCAGGUAGAGAAUACCAAGGCGCUUGAGAGAACUCGGGUGAAGGAACUAGGCAAAAUGGUGCCGUAACUUCGGGAGAAGGCACGCUGAUACGUAGGUGAAGUCCCUCGCGGAUGGAGCUGAAAUCAGUCGAAGAUACCAGCUGGCUGCAACUGUUUAUUAAAAACACAGCACUGUGCAAACACGAAAGUGGACGUAUACGGUGUGACGCCUGCCCGGUGCCGGAAGGUUAAUUGAUGGGGUUAGCGGUAACGCGAAGCUCUUGAUCGAAGCCCCGGUAAACGGCGGCCGUAACUAUAACGGUCCUAAGGUAGCGAAAUUCCUUGUCGGGUAAGUUCCGACCUGCACGAAUGGCGUAAUGAUGGCCAGGCUGUCUCCACCCGAGACUCAGUGAAAUUGAACUCGCUGUGAAGAUGCAGUGUACCCGCGGCAAGACGGAAAGACCCCGUGAACCUUUACUAUAGCUUGACACUGAACAUUGAGCCUUGAUGUGUAGGAUAGGUGGGAGGCUUUGAAGUGUGGACGCCAGUCUGCAUGGAGCCGACCUUGAAAUACCACCCUUUAAUGUUUGAUGUUCUAACGUUGGCCCCUGAUCGGGGUUGCGGACAGUGUCUGGUGGGUAGUUUGACUGGGGCGGUCUCCUCCUAAAGAGUAACGGAGGAGCACGAAGGUUGGCUAAUCCUGGUCGGACAUCAGGAGGUUAGUGCAAUGGCAUAAGCCAGCUUGACUGCGAGCGUGACGGCGCGAGCAGGUGCGAAAGCAGGUCAUAGUGAUCCGGUGGUUCUGAAUGGAAGGGCCAUCGCUCAACGGAUAAAAGGUACUCCGGGGAUAACAGGCUGAUACCGCCCAAGAGUUCAUAUCGACGGCGGUGUUUGGCACCUCGAUGUCGGCUCAUCACAUCCUGGGGCUGAAGUAGGUCCCAAGGGUAUGGCUGUUCGCCAUUUAAAGUGGUACGCGAGCUGGGUUUAGAACGUCGUGAGACAGUUCGGUCCCUAUCUGCCGUGGGCGCUGGAGAACUGAGGGGGGCUGCUCCUAGUACGAGAGGACCGGAGUGGACGCAUCACUGGUGUUCGGGUUGUCAUGCCAAUGGCACUGCCCGGUAGCUAAAUGCGGAAGAGAUAAGUGCUGAAAGCAUCUAAGCACGAAACUUGCC
rnacentral:rRNA from 1 species